UACAGGCAUGUGUCCAACAGGGACUUGGAAACUCCCAUCACAUAAAUUAAAUAUCCAUCGCAUUAGUUCUCCUUUUGUUCUGGAUUCAAAUCAUACUUUUUAUUGAGCACAACUGUAGUAAUGCUAUAUGGCUGACCAUUACACUGUGAAUGUAUACAUUACCACAUUCAUAAUACUGUGUAUCUUCUGGCACAGCCAUUGUACAGCGCUAUGGAAUCUGAUGGUGCUAUAUAAAUAAAAUAAUAAUAAUCAUUAGUUAGCACUGCCAUUCCAUCUCUGGUGCAAUGCUAGACAUUCUGGCUCUGCACACUUAACUGCAUGUGCUCAACCCCUAACCUACCGAGACAUCAUGCCCAGUUCAACGCGUUAGAUGCAUGUAUUUGGGAAACAACAAGCUCAGAGGUCUGACUCCAUCCUCUGAUGCCAUUACCCAAUAUCAGCUCCAGAAGACAAUACGUAGACCUGUCUUUUAGGGUGUAAAAGAACUGACAGACCAAUGCAAACCCAAAAGGUGGCAUCAGGAAUCCUGUUUGAGCAGACUAAAUCCCCAGAAAAUCUGGCUUCUUUUUAUUUCCACAAAAUCUUGAUCAGCCU